UCCAGAGCAGGCUGGUCUGAAGGUAAAGGUAUACCAGUUCUUGUUGGUCCUCAGGAGCCCAGAGGGGAGAAGCAGGAACUCCUCUCAGAGAAAGCAGGCCUUCUUCAGGACUCCACCAGCAUAGAUGCUGUAAGCCAAGUAUUUAUCUGAGUGCUUUGACAAUGUCUGGCUUUCAUUCUUUAUUCUGAACUGUGAGGUUACCAUGAGCGUCAUUUUGGAGAACAUGGUUUUCACACCUCUAGCUACACCAACCCCCUCCUGCAGUUUGAGUCUAGGAAAGGAGAAGUGGUGAAGUUCACACUGAUCUUGGUUCAGACAUGAUGAAGCUUCCAUCCAUCAUGGUGCUGCUCGGUAUGGGUGGACUGCUGGUUCUGCUGAUUGGACUGGGCUUUACAGUCAGGCUCUGUAUCUCUCCGUUUUCUCCGAGCCGGACUCUGUUUCAGCUGGUGGUCAUCAUCCCAUUCUUCAUCUCCACCUUGAAGAUGUUGGCCCUCCUCAGAGACAUGAUGCCAGGU